AGGAUCAUUAUCGAAAUAAACUUGAACAGGCUGUUGCUGGCCCCAUGGGUAUGUGCACGCUUGUCAUCUUUAUCAUUUCUCCAACCUGUGCACACAAUGUAGACCUGAGGAGCCUUUUGAAUUCUAUUCGAGUGGGGGAUUGCAGUGCUUUUAUUUAAAACCACAAAAGUCUGCUUUCCCUUGAAUUUUUCAGGUCUAUGUCAUUUUUCUUUCACAACCAUGUUUAGAAUGUUGAAUCAGGUCUUUGUACCUAAAAAGUUAAUACAACUUUCAGCAACGGAUCUCUUGGCUCUCGCAUCGAUGAAGAACGCAGCGAAAUGCGAUAAGUAAUGUGAAUUGCAGAAUUCAGUGAAUCAUCGAAUCUUUGAACGCAUCUUGCGCUCCUUGGUAUUCCGAGGAGCAUGCCUGUUUGAGUGUCAUUUGACUUAUCAACCACAUCAUCUUUUUUUGAAGAUGUGGCUUGGAUGUGGGGGAAUUUAUAUUUUUGCGGGCUCAACAAAAGCCGGCUCCCCUGAAAUGCAUUAGUGGUAUCUGAGCUGCUAUUGGUGUGAUAAAUUAUCUAUGCCUUUGGUUUUGCUGGUCAGAGCUGCUUAUAACCACCCAAUCAUUUGACAAAUUUGACCUCAAAUCAGGU
rnacentral:rRNA from 1 species